rnacentral:lncRNA from 1 species
GCCUCUCUUGGACUUCCCUACUCAAACUCCAGUUCCUGGGCGACGUGAGGAUUAGUCUCGUGGGGUGGGGGUUCCGGAGCGGUCGGCGGAGGGAGGGAGGUAGUGGGGAGCCCAGGCCAGGGGCAACAGUCACCGGGACACUCGCUGUGCGCAGAGUCCUUGCCCCAAACUUCCAGUCGGGAGCCCGGGAGAGACGCUGGGCAUCAAGACGGGUGGCAGCCUGCCCGGCCGCUGCUCCCGGCCCGCCGAGUUCGCCACCUCACCCCCACCCCUGCUGGCCUCUCCCCGUGCUCAAGACACGAGACCCAGCCGUC